AUGGCCUGCCUCUUCUGGCCAGUGUACCUACAGAAUCCCUUCUUGUUAUUUUUUAACAUCUCUCACCAAGUUCAGUUCCAUCUGUGCCUUGGCUUUUUUAAUCCCCUCUGUACAAAUCCAGACAGCAUGUCUGUUCUCUCCCCAAGUGGCACGCCCUUGUUUCCACAACUGGUACAAUCUCUUCUUUUCCCUCAGACUGACCUGCAGGUCCUUCCCAAGCCAUGUUGGUUUCCUGCCUCCCCUGCUCGCUUUCUUAUUCUGAGGGACAGAGAGCUCUUGUGCUCUCAGAAAGGCAUCCCUGAAGAGGAGCCGGCUUUCUUCCACUUCUUUGUCUCUAAGGACAGCUUCCCAGGAGAUCUCAUCCAACAAUUCCUUAAACAGCCUGAAGCUUACACUCCCAAAGUUCAGGGUCCUGACCCAACUCUUUGCCAGGCCCACGUUCCUCGAGAUCACAAACUCAGUCAGGGCAUAGUCACUGCAGCCUAUGUUGCCUCCAGUCUUAAUGCCUUUAACGAUCUUCUCUGCAUUGGUGAGCGCCAGAUCCAACAGCACUUCACCUCUGGUUGGUUUAUCCAAUACUUGAACCAGAAAGUUAUCAUCCACGCAUUCCAGGAGGUUCCUGGAUCUCUUGUGGCUUGCUGUGUGGUUUUCCCAGCAGAUAUCCAGGUGAAGUUCAACAAAUGCAAAGUUCUGCACCUGGACUGGAGCAAUCCCAAGCAUGAAUUCAGGCUGGAUGAUAAAGGGAUUGAGAGAAGCCCUGAGAAGAAGGACUUGGGGAUUCUGGUGGACAAAGAAUUAAACAUGAUCCCAGAGACAUGCACUUGCAUUUCAGAAAGCCAACUAUAUCCUGUACUGCAUAAAAAGAGGUAUAACCUUCAGGUCAAGGGAGGUGAUAUUCCCCCUCUGAUCUGCCCUCAUGAGAUCUCAUCUGGAGCACUGCACUCAGCUCUGAGGCCCCAGCACAAGAAAGACAUGGACCUGUUAGAGCAGAUCUGUAAGACAUCCAUAAAGUUGAUUGUGAGCCAACAUAAUAAAAUAGAAGACAUUAGUUUUGGAGCAGCCCUUGUAGAUUUGUUGUACUGCUAG
rnacentral:lncRNA from 1 species